UGGGGAAUAUUGGACAAUGGGCGAAAGCCUGAUCCAGCCAUGCCGCGUGUGUGAAGAAGGUCUUCGGAUUGUAAAGCACUUUAAGUUGGGAGGAAGGCAUUAACCUAAUACGUUAGUGUUUUGACGUUACCGACAGAAUAAGCACCGGCUAACUCUGUGCCAGCAGCCGCGGUAAUACAGAGGGUGCAAGCGUUAAUCGGAAUUACUGGGCGUAAAGCGCGCGUAGGUGGUUUGUUAAGUUGGAUGUGAAAUCCCCGGGCUCAACCUGGGAACUGCAUUCAAAACUGACUGACUAGAGUAUGGUAGAGGGUGGUGGAAUUUCCUGUGUAGCGGUGAAAUGCGUAGAUAUAGGAAGGAACACCAGUGGCGAAGGCGACCACCUGGACUAAUACUGACACUGAGGUGCGAAAGCGUGGGGAGCAAACA
rnacentral:rRNA from 1 species